GAUGAACGCUAGCUACAGGCUUAACACAUGCAAGUCGAGGGGCAGCAUGGUCUUAGCUUGCUAAGGCCGAUGGCGACCGGCGCACGGGUGAGUAACACGUAUCCAACCUGCCGUCUACUCUUGGACAGCCUUCUGAAAGGAAGAUUAAUACAAGAUGGCAUCAUGAGUCCGCAUGUUCACAUGAUUAAAGGUAUUCCGGUAGACGAUGGGGAUGCGUUCCAUUAGAUAGUAGGCGGGGUAACGGCCCACCUAGUCUUCGAUGGAUAGGGGUUCUGAGAGGAAGGUCCCCCACAUUGGAACUGAGACACGGUCCAAACUCCUACGGGAGGCAGCAGUGAGGAAUAUUGGUCAAUGGGCGAGAGCCUGAACCAGCCAAGUAGCGUGAAGGAUGACUGCCCUAUGGGUUGUAAACUUCUUUUAUAAAGGAUAAAGUCGGGUAUGCAUACCCGUUUGCAUGUACUUAUGAAUAAGGAUCGGCUAACUCCGU
rnacentral:rRNA from 1 species